CCUAAGGCCAGCGAGAGAACUGUUGUUAAGGAACUCGGCAAAAUGACCCCGUAACUUAGGGAUAAGGGGUGCCACCAUCAGGUGGCCGCAGAGAAUAGGCCCAAGCGACUGUUUACCAAAAACAUAGGUUUCUGCUAAGUCGCAAGACGAUGUAUAGGAGCUGACGCCUGCCCGGUGCUGGAAGGUUAAGGGGAUCUGUUAGAGUAAUCGAAGCAGUGAACUUAAGCCCCAGUAAACGGCGGCCGUAACUAUAACGGUCCUAAGGUAGCGAAAUUCCUUGUCGGGUAAGUUCCGACCCGCACGAAAGGCGUAACGAUUUGGGCACUGUCUCAACAACAGACUCGGUGAAAUUGUAAUUCCGGUGAAGAUGCCGGAUACCUGCGACAGGACGGAAAGACCCCAUGGAGCUUUACUGUAGCUUGACAUUGGGU
rnacentral:rRNA from 1 species